GUAGUCGAUGGGAAACAGGUUAAUAUUCCUGUACUUGGUGUUACUGCGAAGGGGGGACGGAGAAGGCUAUGUUGGCCGGGCGACGGUUGUCCCGGUUUAAGCGUGUAGGCUGGUUUUCCAGGCAAAUCCGGAAAACCAAGGCUGAGGCGUGAUGACGAGGCACUACGGUGCUGAAGUGACAAAUGCCCUGCUUCCAGGAAAAGCCUCUAAGCAUCAGGUAACAUCAAAUCGUACCCCAAACCGACACAGGUGGUCAGGUAGAGAAUACCAAGGCGCUUGAGAGAACUCGGGUGAAGGAACUAGGCAAAAUGGUGCCGUAACUUCGGGAGAAGGCACGCUGAUAUGUAGGUGAAGCGACUUGCUCGUGGAGCUGAAAUCAGUCGAAGAUACCAGCUGGCUGCAACUGUUUAUUAAAAACACAGCACUGUGCAAACACGAAAGUGGACGUAUACGGUGUGACGCCUGCCCGGUGCCGGAAGGUUAAUUGAUGGGGUUAGCGGUAACGCGAAGCUCUUGAUCGAAGCCCCGGUAAACGGCGGCCGUAACUAUAACGGUCCUAAGGUAGCGAAAUUCCUUGUCGGGUAAGUUCCGACCUGCACGAAUGGCGUAAUGAUGGCCAGGCUGUCUCCACCCGAGACUCAGUGAAAUUGAACUCGCUGUGAAGAUGCAGUGUACCCGCGGCAAGACGGAAAGACCCCGUGAACCUUUACUAUAGCUUGACACUGAACAUUGAGCCUUGAUGUGUAGGAUAGGUGGGAGGCUUUGAAGUGUGGACGCCAGUCUGCAUGGAGCCGACCUUGAAAUACCACCCUUUAAUGUUUGAUGUUCUAACGUUGGCCCGUAAUCCGGGUUGCGGACAGUGUCUGGUGGGUAGUUUGACUGGGGCGGUCUCCUCCUAAAGAGUAACGGAGGAGCACGAAGGUUGGCUAAUCCUGGUCGGACAUCAGGAGGUUAGUGCAAUGGCAUAAGCCAGCUUGACUGCGAGCGUGACGGCGCGAGCAGGUGCGAAAGCAGGUCAUAGUGAUCCGGUGGUUCUGAAUGGAAGGGCCAUCGCUCAACGGAUAAAAGGUACUCCGGGGAUAACAGGCUGAUACCGCCCAAGAGUUCAUAUCGACGGCGGUGUUUGGCACCUCGAUGUCGGCUCAUCACAUCCUGGGGCUGAAGUAGGUCCCAAGGGUAUGGCUGUUCGCCAUUUAAAGUGGUACGCGAGCUGGGUUUAGAACGUCGUGAGACAGUUCGGUCCCUAUCUGCCGUGGGCGCUGGAGAACUGAGGGGGGCUGCUCCUAGUACGAGAGGACCGGAGUGGACGCAUCACUGGUGUUCGGGUUGUCAUGCCAAUGGCACUGCCCGGUAGCUAAAUGCGGAAGAGAUAAGUGCUGAAAGCAUCUAAGCACGAAACUUGCCCCGAGAUGAGUUCUCCCUGAGACUUAGAGUCUCCUGAAGGAACGUUGAAGACGACGACGUUGAUAGGCCGGGUGUGUAAGCGCAGCGAUGCGUUGAGCUAACCGGUACUAAUGAACCGUGAGGCUUAACCUUACAACGCCG
rnacentral:rRNA from 1 species